UAGGGAAUCUUCCGCAAUGGACGAAAGUCUGACGGAGCAACGCCGCGUGAGUGAAGAAGGAUUUCGGUUCGUAAAACUCUGUUGUUAGGGAAGAAAAAAUGUAUAGUAACUAUAUACAAAAGAGACGGUACCUAACCAGAAAGCCACGGCUAACUACGUGCCAGCAGCCGCGGUAAUACGUAGGUAGCAAGCGUUGUCCGGAAUUAUUGGGCGUAAAGCGCGCGCAGGUGGUUUAGAAAGUCUGAUGUGAAAGCCCACGGCUCAACCGUGGAGGGUCAUUGGAAACUAAUAAACUUGAGUGCAGGAGAGAAAAGUGGAAUUCCUAGUGUAGCGGUGAAAUGCGUAGAGAUUAGGAGGAACACCGGUGGCGAAAGCGGCUUUUUGGCCUGCAACUGACACUGAGGCGCGAAAGCGUGGGGAGCAAACAGG
rnacentral:rRNA from 1 species